rnacentral:misc_RNA from 1 species
UAAACAGCCCUCUGCUUAUUCCAGAGGUGUCGGCCCUUGCACUGGGGGCCGAGGAGUUGAGUGGGGAGUUUUUGUACAUCAAGCAGGCAUACUCUUUAGUCUGACAAGUACAUACAAGAAGUUUUGCCCUAUUUGUGAGCGAUGGCGACGUACCAGGAGUUUAUCCAGCAGCAGGAGGACCGGGACGGCGUGCGCCUGACGUGGAACGUCUGGCCGUCCAGCCGGCUGGAGGCCACGCGCCUGGUAGUGCCCGUGUCGGCACUCUAUACCCCGCUCAAGGAGAGGCCAGACCUCCAGCCGGUGCAGUAUGAUCCCGUGGUGUGCACGCGCACCAACUGUCGCGCCAUCCUCAAUCCGUGCUGCCAGGUGGACUACCGCGCCAAAAUCUGGGUCUGCAACUUCUGCUUUCAGCGUAACCAGUUUCCACCGCAGUACGCCUCCAUCACGGAGCAGCACCAGCCGGCCGAGCUGAUCCCGCAGUUCUCCACCAUCGAGUACACCAUCACGCGGGCGCAGUGUAUGCCGCCCAUCUUCCUGCUGGUGGUGGACACGUGUGUGGACGAGGACGAGCUGGCGGCACUGAAGGAGUCGCUGCAGAUGUCGCUCAGCCUGAUGCCACCCAACGCGCUCGUCGGCCUCAUCACCUUCGGCAAGAUGGUCCAGGUGCACGAGCUGGGCUGCGACGGCUGCUCCAAGUCGUUCGUGUUCCGCGGCACCAAGGACGUGACGGCGCGCCAGGUGCAGGACAUGCUGGGGAUCGGACGCGGCGGCGCGCCGCAGCAGGCGCGCGCGCCACAGCAGCCCGGCCAGCCGCAGCAGCCGCAGCAGCAGCAGGCGCAGCUCAAUAGAUUCUUGCAGCCGCUGCACAAGUGCGACAGCAACUUGACGGACCUGCUGGGCGAGCUGCAGCGCGACCCGUGGCCGGUGCCGCAGGCCAAACGUCCGCUGCGCUCAACCGGCGCCGCGCUCUCCAUCGCCGUCAGUCUGCUCGAGGUGUCAUUAGGGAUUGACUCCUCCUCUAAGGAGCCGUUCGCGAGGUGCACAUUCCCCAACUCUGGUGGGCGGAUCAUGCUGUUCGUGGGCGGCGCGUGCUCCCAGGGACCGGGCAUGGUGCUCAACGAUGAUCUCAAGAACCCCAUCAGGUCGCACAACGACAUCGAGAAGGACAACGCCAAGUACAUGAAGAAGGCCAUCAAGCACUACGAGGCGCUGGCGGGCCGCGCGGCCAACAAUGGCCACGCCGUGGACAUCUACAGCUGCGCCCUGGACCAGACCGGCCUCAUGGAGAUGAAGUACUGCUGCAACCUCAGCGGGGGUCACAUGGUGAUGGGCGACUCCUUCAACUCGUCGCUGUUCAAGCAGACCUUCCAGCGGGUGUUCGCGAAGGAUCAGCGUAACGAGUACAAGAUGGCCUUCAACGCCGUGGUGGAGGUGAAGACCUCCCGGGAGAUCAAGGUGUCGGGCUGCCUGGGACCGUGCGUGUCGAUGAACAACAAGGCGCCGAACGUGGGCGAGACCGAGGUGGGCGUGGGCGGCACGUCCCAGUGGAAGUUCUGCUCGCUGACGCCCAACACCACGCCCGUCAUCGUGCUGGAGGUGGUCAACCAGCACGGGGCGCCGAUCCCGCAGGGCGGCCGCGGCUGCCUGCAGUUCAUCACGCAGUACCAGCACUCUAGCGGCCAGAAGCGGGUCCGCGUCACCACCAUCGCCAGGAACUGGGCCGACGCCACCACGGGCAUGCAGCACAUCUCGGCCGGCUUCGACUCGGAGGCGGCGGCUGUCACCAUGGGCCGGAUGGCCGUGUGGAGGGCCGAGAGCGCCGACGGUCGGGACGUGCUUCGCUGGGUGGACCGCAUGCUGAUCCGGCUGGUGCAGAAGUUCGGCGAGUACAACAAGGACGACCCCAACAGCUUCCGGCUGUCUGAGAAUUUCAGCCUGUACCCGCAGUUCAUGUUCCACCUGCGUCGCUCGCCGUUCCUGCAGGUGUUCAACAACUCACCCGACGAGACGAGCUUCUACCGGCACAUGCUGAUGCGGGAGGACCUGACGCAGAGCCUGAUCAUGAUCCAGCCGAUCCUGUACAGCUACAGCUUCAACGGGCCGCCGGAGCCGGUGCUGCUCGACACGAGCAGCAUCCAGCCGGACCGCAUCCUGCUGAUGGACACGUUCUUCCAGAUCCUCAUAUUCCACGGCGAGACGAUUGCGCAGUGGCGCGCCGCCAAGUACCAGGAGCUGCCCGAGUACGAGAACUUCAAGCAGCUGCUGGAGGCGCCAGUGGACGAUGCGCAAGAGAUCCUGCAGACGCGCUUCCCGAUGCCGCGCUACAUCGACACGGAACAGGGCCACUCGCAGGCGCGGUUCCUGCUGCACAAGGUGAACCCGUCGCAGACGCACAACAACAUGUACGCCUACGGCGGCCAGGACGUGGCUAUCAGCUCAUCAGGGGAGGGCGGAGCACCGGUGCUCACCGACGACGUCAGCCUGCAGGUGUUCAUGGAGCACCUCAAGAAGCUGGCCGUCUCCUCUCAGGCCUAGGAGGCCUCCCCUGCAGCUGCGGCGCCCGUCCGAUGAGACGUGGCCAGCGGUGGUGCUGGUCCAGUGGGACGACAGCGGUGGUGCUGGCCCAGUGACUUGGUUCAGCUAUUGCCCAGUGACAAGCGAUCAGCUGCACUGGGGUCGACGAUUCAGUAGCGUGUGAUCUGGCUGCGAGACGGUGCUGUUUUGUUGGAUGUGGGUAACGUGUGAUGUGAACUGCUGUUUAUUAGUAGAUUUUCAAUCUCGCUCGUGCUAUACUUUAUCGUACAGUUAGACGCCUACAACAGUAUGAAUAUACUUUGC